rnacentral:tRNA from 1 species
GCUCUUCUAGUAUACUAAUUACAAUCGACUUCCAAUCCAUAAAAUCUGGUGUAACCCCAGAGAAGAGCA